rnacentral:lncRNA from 1 species
AUUUGUCGAUCAUAAUUCCAUUGGAAUCAAACAUAUCCUCGUACAUUAUGCACCUCAAAUCACCAAAAGUCAUGGAUGAAUUCUCAAUUACUUAAAAAGGUCUGCUGAAAGUAAAGACUCUCAUCUCUCUUGGGUACAAAAAUUAUCAGGCGAGUGCGUGCGUGGCAGUCCCAAAUUAGACUCUUGCAACCGAGAUGGGAUUGCUGGCAGGAUAGAAGUUUAAAAUGGGGGGGGGGGACGGUGGACACUUGGCCAUGUCCAUCAUAGGGAGCAAGAAGGUAGAUAGGCUUGUCAGUCUUUUUGUCCC